rnacentral:rRNA from 1 species
UUUUUCAGCAAGAUCCCGCUGAAUUUAAGCAUAUAAGUAAGCGGGGGAAAAGGAAUUAAAUAGGAUUCCCUCAGUAAUGGCGAAUGAACAGGGAUGAGCUCAGGCUGGAAACCGAUACAUCUGUGUCGGGCUGUAGCCUGCAGGCAUAGCGCUAUCGGCGGCUCGAGCGCAAGCCUGUUGGAAUAGAGCGUGUGCCCGGGUGAGAAUCCUGCAUUUCGCUCGAUGUCCGCUGUCCACAGUGCUUGUCCUGAGAGUCACGCUCCUCGGAAUUGGAGCGUAAAUCAGGUGGUAAGUUUCAUCCAAAGCUAAAUAGAAGCUCGAGACCAAUAGCAAACAAGUACCAUGAGGGAAAGAUGAAAAGGACUUUGGAAAGAGAAUUAAAAGUGUUUGAAAUUGCUGAGAGCGUAGCGAACGGAGCCACAUGUCGUGCUGAGAUUGCUGUGGGUCUUUGUGAGCCUUGAGCAUGUAAGCGCAAGCUGACUGCUUAUGUGUGAGCAUUUGCCCGCAGUGUUUCUCAGCAUGCGAGUCAUUAGCCACAUUUGUUUGAGGAUGGCCUUCAGCUCACAUGGAACACUGUGCGGUGUGGGACUCAGACAGGUGUGGCUUGUUGACCCAGUGGUUUUUUUCGACCCGUCUGAAACACGGACCAAG